rnacentral:rRNA from 1 species
UGGGGGAUAUUGCACAAUGGGCGAAAGCCUGAUGCAGCGACGCCGCGUGGGGGAUGAAGGCUUUCGGGUUGUAAACCUCUUUCGCUAUCGAACAAGGCCCGCUUAGGGUGGGUUGAGGGUAGGUGGAGAAGAAGCGCCGGCUAACUACGUGCCAGCAGCCGCGGUAAUACGUAGGGCGCGAGCGUUGUCCGGAAUUAUUGGGCGUACAGGGCUUGUAGGCGGCUUGUUGCGCCUGCUGUGAAAACGCGGGGCUUAACUUCGCGCGUGCAGUGGGUACGGGCAGGCUUGAGUGUGGUAGGGGUGACUGGAAUUCCAGGUGUAGCGGUGGAAUGCGCAGAUAUCUGGAGGAACACCGAUGGCGAAGGCAGGUCACUGGGCCAUUACUGACGCUGAGGAGCGAAAGCAUGGGUAGCGAACAGG